rnacentral:lncRNA from 1 species
ACUCUAGCUUCAAUGUUAGCCAGGUUGUCCAACAGCUAGGGUAUGCCGAGAUAGAUGUUAUAACAGCUAAAGCGGAGUUACAAAGGAAAGGGAACAAACUUCCAACAGCCGAAGACAUUGUGAACACUUUGCUCGAUAUGCAGGAAAGAACUGUAAAUUUCAAAACAAUAACAGCACCCCAGGAACAUGAAAACAACUUACAAGCCCUUACAGAGGAAAAUAAGAAACUGUCCCGUCUUAUCUACUGUAUGCUGUGUGUUACUGGAGAAGCGGACAUGUUGUUUCUGCCCUGCACCCAUCAUCGGACAUGUCACGAAUGUGCUGCUGAUCUCAUCUUCUGUCCCGUGUGUAAUGAGUUUAUCAAAGAGAAAGUCAAAACUUUUCGUUCCUAAAGUUUUAUCAGAGACACUUUUUAUUUCCACUACUGAUCUUUCAGACUUAAUGUCUCGAUAUGUAGGGAAGGACAAACAUAUUUUGUUACAAAAACGUGUAACAGUUAUAACUAAAUCAUUGAAAAGAUGUGAUAAAUUUUACUAUAUGUUAACAUCUGCUUUUGCAACCUGGACGACUCUUUUCUGCGCUGGAUUCGGUUACCCGAUGACACGGAGGACUACAUGAGUUUUACAUUGCUUUCUGCAGCCAGAUUCACGAAAGCUUUGGGCGUAAUAUAUUCUGUUCAAUCGCUUGUUAAUUUGGCUGCAGUAGCAAACAUCAACGCAUCAAAAGGACUUACUUCACUGAAGCUGAUUUUACCACUGUAGUAUAUGUUUAUUGCAAAUGCCACUUAUAUGCAAUUGUUUGACGUAGUUAUAAACUGAUGUUGAUCUAAAUAAUGUUUCCUUUACGAGGACGGUGUGUUAAAGUAACUGCUUUCGUAAAAUUAAUAUAAAAUGUUUUAUUGUAAUGUUAAUCUGAAUUUCCUUAAUACACUUAAUCCAGUAGAUAUAGCGUAGACCUACGAAUCACGAAAUCUUGAAUUCAAUUCCCGGGCGAGGCUAAAGACAUUGUGUUUGAAACCAUUCGUCCUUCACCUCUGAUUAAUUUGUUGGAAGUUUGCGGGUACUUGCAGAGAACCAGUUUGUACCGGUACAGAAUCCAGGAACACUAGGUAGGCCAACUGCCCUCCUUUGCAUAACUGAAAUUUCCUUGAAAAACGUUUAACGCAAAACAACCGAAUUAAUAUGUUUCGUCAUUAUACCAGUAUUUCUCUGCUUAACACAUUUUAAAGUAUCACUUCCCUUAUCGAAUCUAGAAGUACAUCCUUUGGAAGCAUAGAACUCAACUAAGCAAAAUAACUGCAAAUUUGAUUUGAAAAGGUCUAUUCUAGAGAGGUACCGAAAUGUGGCAACACACUUCCUUUCCCCAAGAGAGAAAUUCUGUAAAUAAAAAUAUAUUAUCAUCAUAGCUGGUAUUAAAAAUCGGUCAGUAAUCUCGUUGUAAAAUAGUUUUCCGGAUAUUGAUUUAAAUAAGCCAGUUUAUUUGUGGUAUUGUAGCAUGUAUUACUAAAUCGUUUACUGGCCCCAUAUUCUCAUUAAAAUAUUUUCAGUCUCAAGUUUGAUCAUGAAACUAUAGUUGUCAUUAAUAUCUAGUGCAUGUUCAAAAUUAAAUAUUCAUUUAAUUAAUUAUUUUAAGUCACUGUUCAGUAUUGAUGGUCAAUCUUACUUGUUUGUAAGUUUCUAUGUGUAUGUUAAUUGUGUGUGUGUUUGUCUUGUGUACGUGCUUAUGCCUGUGCUUUUGUGGUUUACGCUGUAGGUAGACUGCUUUAUAGGAACAUGGCUUUCCUUAUUGCAUAUACAUACUUUGUUCCACUUUCCCCCAAUAUCCCUUUUUAUCUACCACUUAACACCUCUAUCCCCUACCCAUUUUCUGUAUUUUGCAUAUAAUUAAAAUGUACUUGUUGUUUGAUUUUGAAGCAACCCAUCUACAAUUAUAGUUUUCCAAUACAGCUUCUCUUUGCUGUAGGUCUGCUUUGCGAUGCAUGUCUUUAUGAUUGUGUUUAGGGUGCUCUGUGCUUCCGAGAAAUCUACCCUUACCUUUUAUCUCUUCUGAACACGGGGCCUGUCCAUAGUGAGGCUGAUAACGUAUAAGUAUGCAAUAUAUAUUUUCAAACCUUUGUGACAUCAUUUCUUAUUCACUCAGAUAUUUAUUUUCUAAACAUCUGUAUACAAUAAAAAUGUAUUUGUCGAACUUUGUCUUAUUGAUGAUUUCAUGAUUUUAUAUUAUUGUUAACUUAAUACAUGUGUAACGUUUUAUUAGGUUUGUGUGUGUGUGUUUAUUUUACGCCUUUGAUAUUUCACAACUGUCAACUUAUCAUCCUUGGGGUAUACAUGCACAUAUUUCUGACAUUAUCCAGCUAGAAAUAAACUAGAAUGUAAUAAUAUGAACUUAUGUCAUGUACUCUAAACAUCUGUUUUGCCUUAAAUGAGCUAAGUCAAUUCAGUUCAAAAUGAUUCAUUUCACUCGUUUCAUGUAUGCAUGAAUCAAUUAGGUGAUACAUUUGACAAUAUGUUUGAGGCUCGUGCUAUGUAAAUUAUCAAGAAAGUUAUAACAAAGCUAACGUAAAAAUGCAAAAUUAGCAUUUGAAAAAUAUAUAAAAUUAUGAUUCUGAUAUUGAAUACUGAUUUGAUACGAAGCUUGGACAUCGGAGAAUCGAAUCACAAUUAUAACCAUUUUAUAUAGGCUCAGUAUUAUAUAGCCGCAAGAAUAUAAACUAUAAUAUUCUUAAUUGACAAUAUUUUUUAACGAACGUGCACACGAUACUUUUCUCUUUUUGGUAUAAUAAAUUCAUAUUGAUAAGAUGCUCUAAUUUGUAUGAAUUUGAAUGUUUAAAGUAGUAUGGCUAAACGAAUUUUGUCCGAUCAUUUGACAUUCGCCUCGGGUGACAUUCUGCCCUCGGGUUGACAAUAUCACUGUCACACACGCUGCCAUAUGAUAUUUAUAUAUUAAUAAUAUACAUAAUUUUUAGACAAUAAAAAGAGAAAAAUGA